rnacentral:lncRNA from 1 species
GUCUAUAUAUGGUAGAAUAUAUGCAUUAUAAAAUAGUUGCCUUGUGUGUAUUGGCAAAUAUACUUUAAUUUUAUAUAAAAGUGAUACUUUAGAAGAGAUUAUUUUACAUACACGAUCAACAUGAUCUUCCCAGCUUAAAUUUUCAUCAAUGUCAAUUCCAAGUAAUUUGAAAGAAUGGACAUUCUCAAUACAUGUUUCGUUGACGGUAAUGCAUAAUUCUGAUAGUUGUUUAAGUUUUGGUUUUGAACCCAAUUUCAUACACUUAGUUUUUUGUGCAUUGAUUUUCAUACUGUUAUUGUUACACCAAGAUUGUAUAGCAUUUAAAUCAUUUUGCGAUAUGCUGUUUAUUUUUUCAAUGUUUUUAUCAUGAAAAUGCAAUGUUGAAUCAUCA